rnacentral:rRNA from 1 species
GUAAUGUCUGGGAAACUGCCUGAUGGAGGGGGAGUAACUACUGGAAACGGUAGCUAAUACCGCAUAACGUCGCAAGACCAAAGAGGGGGACCUUCGGGCCUCUUGCCAUCGGAUGUGCCCAGAUGGGAUUAGCUAGUAGGUGGGGUAAAGGCUCACCUAGGCGACGAUCCCUAGCUGGUCUGAGAGGAUGACCAGCCACACUGGAACUGAGACACGGUCCAGACUCCUACGGGAGGCAGCAUG